rnacentral:rRNA from 1 species
UACAGAGGGGGCAAGCGUUGUUCGGAAUUACUGGGCGUAAAGGGCUCGUAGGUGGCCAACUAAGUCGGACGUGAAAUCCCUCGGCUUAACCGGGGAACUGCAUCCGAUACUGGAUGGCUUGAGUUCGGGAGAGGGAUGCGGAAUUCCAGGUGUAGCGGUGAAAUGCGUAGAUAUCUGGAGGAACACCGGUGGCGAAGGCGGCAUCCUGGACCGACACUGACGCUGAGGAGCGAAAGCCAGGGGAGCAAACGGG